rnacentral:rRNA from 1 species
UCGAGGGGUAACAGGGGAAAGCUUGCUUUCCCGCUGACGACCGGCGAACGGGUGCGUAACACGUAUGCAACUUACCCUUUACAGGGGGAUAGCCCUUAGAAAUGAGGAUUAAUACCCCAUAACAUUAUGGAAUCGCAUGGUUCUAUAAUUAAAACUCUGGUGGUAAAGGAUGGGCAUGCGUCCCAUUAGCUUGUUGGUGAGGUAACGGCUCACCAAGGCAACGAUGGGUAGCGGGUCUGAGAGGAUGAUCCGCCACACUGGUACUGAGACACGGACCAGACUCCUACGGGAGGCAGCAGUGAGGAAUAUUGGACAAUGGGCGAAAGCCUGAUCCAGCCAUGCCGCGUGCAGGAUGAAUGCCCUAUGGGUUGUAAACUGCUUUUAUAAGGGAAGAAACCCCCGGACGUGUCCGGGGCUGACGGUACCUUAAGAAUAAGCACCGGCUAACUCCGUGCCAGCAGCCGCGGUAAUACGGAGGGUGCAAGCGUUAUCCGGAUUUAUUGGGUUUAAAGGGUCCGUAGGCGGGGUAUUAAGUCAGUGGUGAAAGCCUGCAGCUCAACUGUAGAAUUGCCAUUGAUACUGAUACUCUUGAAUAUAAUUGAAGUUAGCGGAAUGUGUCAUGUAGCGGUGAAAUGCUUAGAGAUGACACAGAACACCGAUUGCGAAGGCAGCUAACUAAGUUAUCAUUGACGCUGA